CAAUCUGCUUUCAGGAGAUUGAAGCCAAACGAUGAGAAUAAGGAAGAACAGCUGGUUUUUUUUCCUCCCCAAAUCUCAAGUUUCAUAUAUUUGGUAAAGGAGAAUUGAGAAGAUUAGUAUCACUCAAGUUGUGGAGUCCCCAUAAUAAAUAAAAUUGAGUUUGUAAUUCAUCUCGAAUUAAGAAAAACAGCCACAUUUAAUUGUAAUUUAUGGAGUGUUGACAGGCUAUAUUUGAUCCUUUUUUCUUUUAAUGUGUACUAUUUCUAAGAACAUUUAAUGAUUUUUGAUACAGUGGAAUUUUUCGGAAUUGAUCCCAUGGUUU